rnacentral:lncRNA from 1 species
UGAGGAUUAAUUUUUUACAUGAAUUUGCAUGCAAAUAGAGUACUCCCUUUUGGCUUCGGCAGAGUCGUUUCUUAAUGUUUGCAAACACUGUCGCUCAGAUGCAAGAAGUGCCAUUGCCCCAUUUUACAGAUGAGGAGACAGUGGCUGGCUGAGAAAGAAGUAACCGAAGUCUAUGUGCCCAAGUGACUACAGCAGUAAGACUGGACAGAGAGUCCCUUUCCUGGCAGAAGCUGGUCUUUCUGCGAGUCCAUGGAAAGUUCUUGAGCGGAGAGCUCUCCAUGCCUGCUGCUGCUAACAGGUUGGAAACCAUAUGGAAUUGUCUCAUACAUCAGUCAGAAGAAAGAAAGCCAGCAGAAGAAAUUUCAGUAUAUAAACCCACUUGGAGAUCCCACCAUAGGUACUUUGGAAGCAAUCUCAUGCUGCUGAAUUACUUCUCUACAACAAUAUUCU